GUUGGGAGAGCCGAGAGCGGCUCCCGCGGUGCCGAGCGUUUUGCAGCCUCGGAGACCAGGGCUUGUCUCCCCACGGGUCCGCGGGGCACCGCUUCCACACCCCAGCCCGCCCUCCCAGGGAUAGGUGCGACGAACGGGCCUCCGGCUCUGAGUGUGGCAAUAACCCUGACCGGCUGUGGGCGGAUCCCUGACAUGCUGUGGAUGCAGAUGGCACGGCUGGGAUGGUGACAUGGGCUCAGCCUUGCGCCUCAGAUGUUAAAUCCACCCAAGACAAGAUCAGCAUAGACUUGCCAACAGCAGGAGACCACCCACAUUCUUUGGCUCAAGACCUCUUCAUCCAUGUUCAAAGCCACCACGGUUGCCUCUGAGCAUUCUUCUGCAGGGGCAUUUCCCUCUGAUGCUCUCCAUCUGGCUCUCUCUUCCAUCUUCAGGGACCCUUGUGAUUACAUGGACCCACCUAGAUAAUCUGUGAUAAUUUCUCUACUUGGCGGAUUUGCUGCCUUCAUUCUCCUUUGCCAGAAAUCUCCAAAAUCCGUGUCCUACAUGGCCAGGCUGCUGAAGCUCCCUGGAUGCCCACUAUGUGCCAGGGCUACUGUUUCUUCUUGCUGGGAUUCGGCUCUGUUCUCACACAGAAGGUCCCAGUUAACAGCUCUCCGAGGUCUACUGGAGGCCUGGGUCACAUGCACAAGUGGUCCUGGGCAGGAAGCCGGAUUCUGACACUGGAGAAGGAGGAUAUCUUCGUAGAAUUUGAGCUAGACCUUUUGGAAAAAGUAAACUUUUGCCAGGUAUAGAAGGUGUGUGUGUGUCGGGGUGUUCCAGGCAGAGGGACCCACAGAAGCAAAAGCAUGGAAGUCUGUGGAAUGCUUAGUCUUCCACUGGGCCAUAGGGUGUCAGUUGAGGAUUUUUAAUGGAGAGGGGCUUUUGUGCAGAGAAAAGCUACCUACUGCUGCUUGUCUUUAAAUUAAUGCUGUAUU